rnacentral:rRNA from 1 species
AGUGAACGCUGGCGGUAGGCCUAACACAUGCAAGUCGAACGACAGCACAGUAAGAGCUUGCUCUUACGGGUGGCGAGUGGCGGACGGGUGAGGAAUACAUCGGAAUCUACUUUUUCGUGGGGGAUAACGUAGGGAAACUUACGCUAAUACCGCAUACGACCUACGGGUGAAAGCAGGGGAUCUUCGGACCUUGCGCGAUUGAAUGAGCCGAUGUCGGAUUAGCUAGUUGGCGGGGUAAAGGCCCACCAAGGCGACGAUCCGUAGCUGGUCUGAGAGGAUGAUCAGCCACACUGGAACUGAGACACGGUCCAGACUCCUACGGGAGGCAGCAGUGGGGAAUAUUGGACAAUGGGCGCAAGCCUGAUCCAGCCAUACCGCGUGGGUGAAGAAGGCCUUCGGGUUGUAAAGUCCUUUUGUUGGGAAAGAAAAGCAGCAGGUUAAUACCCCGCUGUUCUGACGGUACCCAAAGAAUAAGCACCGGCUAACUUCGUG